rnacentral:lncRNA from 1 species
UCGUGGUCUGAGCAGCACUAGGACCCUAUCCUUCUUCUCCAGUUGGCCUGUAGCAGACUCACUUCAGGCUCAACCCAUGCACCAGCAAUGGUUAGGUAAGCUUCCCCUCUGGUCGGUGUAAAUGCUUCCCUGAGUCCAAGGAAGUGAUCACUGAGUGUCCAGUACCCCUCUAGUACUCCGGGGAUGUGGAGGUCUUUAAGGCUACAGCUGGCCCUCUUCAUCUGACCCCAUUGGAGCUGCAAUCCGGCUGUUCCCUUAGGCCCUUGCUGGGCCAUCCCUUUCUGCCCUCUUAACCUGACCCCAUCCCAGCACCCUGGGAGCUGCAGCCCUGUGUGUUAGUUAGGCCCAACUGGGUUAUUGUGUCCUUUCUUGCCCUCCUCUCACCGUCUCUUUCAAGCUGCUUAUAAUGCCACAGCUUCUCUAGGCCCUCAUGGCUUCUGUGACCCCUUUCCUUCACCUUUUCCUGUGGACGAGACCCCAUUCCUAGAGACUCGGUUCUCUGCCUCUAGGUUCCGCUCUGGGCUUAGCCAGGCUAAGCUCUGAUCCCCAUUGAGUGUGUGAGGAUAUGAACAGGAUUGUGUCACUUCUAAAUUUUUCCUCCCCAUCUCUCAUCCAUGGAGUCUUCUCUAUCCUCUCGUUCACCCUUGGGAUGCCUUUUAGAAAACCUACAGCCUCUCUACCUGGCAUCCGACCUGAAGGGCUCAAAAUUUAUUUACCUUUGCAAUCAAAUUUGGCCUCACUCUCCCAUAGACAGUCAAUCCAAAUGGCCACAUAAUGGCACAAUAGAUCCCAAUGUUAUUUGGGGUCUUUACAAAUUCUGCAAGCGAUCGAUCGGAGAAGUGAAAAGGGAUCCCUUGCAGCUAAGCCUUCUCUUACCUCUGCUCCAAGGCUUCUCUCUGUUUUCCCUCUUCUCUCUCAGCUCCUUUUAGCUACAAACCUGAACAAGAUGAUUUACUCCACUGUUUUUUUUUUUUUUUUGGUUUUUCAAGACAGGUUUUCUCUGUGUAGCCCUGGCUGUCCUGGACCAGGCUGGCCUCAAACUCAGAAAUCUGCCUGCCCCUGCCUUCCGAGUGCAGGGAUUAAAGGUGUGUGCCACCACGACCAGCUACUCCACUGUUUUUGAUCCAGCUAAGGAAGCCCCUCCCCAUCAGCCGGAAGCCCCUCCCCAUCAGCCGGAAGCCCCUCCCCAUCAGCCUAACCCCCA